UACGUAGGGGGCUAGCGUUGUCCGGAUUUAUUGGGCGUAAAGAGCGUGUAGGCGGUUUGGUAGGUCCGCUGUGAAAACUCGAGCUCAACCUCGAGACGCCGGUGGAAACCAUCAGACUAGAGUCCGGAAGAGGAGAGUGGAAUUCCUGGUGUAGCAGUGAAAUGCGCAGAUAUCAGGAAGAACACCCGUGGCUAAGGCGGCUCUCUAGUACGGUACUGACGCUGAGGUGCGAAAGCGUGGGGAGCAAACAGG
rnacentral:rRNA from 1 species